CCUACGGGAGGCAGCAGUGGGGAAUAUUGGACAAUGGGGGGAACCCUGAUCCAGCGACGCCGCGUGAGUGAAGAAGUAUUUCGGUAUGUAAAGCUCUAUCAGCAGGGAAGAAAGAAAUGACGGUACCUGACUAAGAAGCCCCGGCUAACUACGUGCCAGCAGCCGCGGUAAUACGUAGGGGGCAAGCGUUAUCCGGAUUUACGGGGUGUAAAGGGAGCGUAGACGGCGAUGCAAGUCUGAAGUGAAAGGCGGGGGCCCAACCCCCGGACUGCUUUGGAAACUGUAUGGCUGGAGUGCAGGAGAGGUAAGUGGAAUUCCUAGUGUAGCGGUGAAAUGCGUAGAGAUUAGGAGGAACACCAGUGGCGAAGGCGGCUUACGGGACUGUAACUGACGUUGAGGCUCGAAAGCGUGGGGAGCAAACAGGAUUAGAUACCCCAGUAGUC
rnacentral:rRNA from 1 species